AAAUUGAAGAGUUUGAUCAUGGCUCAGAUUGAACGCUGGCGGCAGGCCUAACACAUGCAAGUCGAGCGGUAGCACAGAGAGCUUGCUCUCGGGUGACGAGCGGCGGACGGGUGAGUAAUGUCUGGGAAACUGCCUGAUGGAGGGGGAUAACUACUGGAAACGGUAGCUAAUACCGCAUAAUGUCGCAAGACCAAAGUGGGGGACCUUCGGGCCUCAUGCCAUCA
rnacentral:rRNA from 1 species